CUUGACGGUCAUCCCAGGCCAGUUACUGGAGCGCCCGGGUGCAUCUGGGAGUCGACGGCACCGGGUAUUGUGGGAAAUGUAGUUUGGAGACUCCGCCCUGCUCGCCAUUUCUGUAAUGGCCGCUUCCUGGGAGGCGCUGUCACGUGGAACCUCUUAGCCUCAGCAUCUGGAGUCCUGGAGGGGAGCGGAUAGAUUUAAACAAUUACCGCAGUCUUUGAAGAAACCUUCAGCCUUCAAGAACCAGCCACCUCAAGAUCUCAACAUCAUGAUCUCAGUUUCAACCCAGUUGUUCUUAAUUCUCUUUUCAUUGCUUUUGGUGCUGCCUGUUGUUGAAGCAGUAGAAGCUGGAGAUGCAAUCGCUCUCUUGUUAGGUGUGGUUCUCAGCAUUACAGGCAUUUGUGCUUGUUUGGGGGUAUAUGCACGAAAGAGAAAUGGACAGAUGUGACUUGGAAGGAUUUCCUGAACCAAACCUUGCCCUGAAAACCUGUGUGCUAUUUGAGGUUCAAAACUGAGCUUUGGUGUCUGAAAGUUACAGUUAAAUAGAGUAGUUUCAUAUUCUUGGUUAUUUCCCUAUGAAUGGGAACAAAUUGAUAUACUAAUGGUCAAAUGGAAAACAAAAUGUUUUCUUCACAGCAAAUAAUGCAUUGAAAAAUGCCGUCUGUAAUUUGUAUUUGCUAGUUAGAAAGAGGGCCAAAAAUGAAAUGAUUGAAAUUUGCAUUAAGUGCUAUUUCAUAGUUUCAGAAUUCUCAAUAGGAAGAAGGAAACACUUGCCCAGAAUCCCUGGUAGUUGCCACUGUUAAGUUAUAAUCACUGCCUCCUACAUCGUUGAGGAGUCUUUUCUCUAUAUUUUUACUGGAUUUUUUUGUUGUUGUUGUUGUUAUCUCCCAAGUGAAUGUUAUACUUACGUAUUAAAUACAAUUGGUCAAAUAUUAAAACAUUUCUUAGCAGGGAGUGAAAAGUGUAGAAAUUGUAUUCAGUGUAUCUAACAUUGAAUUAAAGGAAAGAUAUAAAGAUAUGUAAAAAAAGUACUUUAUAUUGACAUUGAAAUGGAGAAGAGAUUUAAUGUUAAAAAAUCUUUAUAUUAACUGACACUCUAUUGCGAGAAGUACUAUAUUAAAUAUAAACCCAUUAUGUAACUUAA